UCCCAUUCGAUUUCUAACCCUCGGACCUUUCGUUUCGGCCAGCUUCUAAAUUUCUAAAAUUUCUAAAAUUUCAAAAUUCAAAAUUAUCUUUCGAAAAUAAUUUAGCCAAAAUAAACACUCGAGGGGCUCAACAUGUGUGACGGAUGUGGAUCGUUGGAGCCGCGUGGAUGCCGCAGUCGGGAGCUGCGCUGCGGCAUCAUGUACACCACCUGCGACUGCGUGAAGCGGAACGGGCUGCAGGACAAGUGUCCGCGGUCCGCCUGCCAGGGCAGACCCGCCUGCCUGUGCUUCCCGUUCCCCACCUGCGGUCCGGCGGCCUUUCCCCUGCGCUAUGCCAACAUGAUGAUGGGCGUGAACAACAAGAGGAUGCGCUGUGCGGCCACUGGAGCUCCGAACGGCGGUGCAUGUGGCGGACGAGCUGCCGGCGGAUGCUGUGGAUGCGGUCCCGGAUGUUGCUAAGCUUCAUGCCCACAAGGCUAACCCCCCAACAAGGAUAGCAAGUCCUGAGUCAGGAUCACCGCGAUGGCUGGCCUCCACCAAAUCACCCAGUUAUAGCCCCCAAUCCCUCCGCAUCCCGUCGCGUGUAAGUGGUUUCUAAGUAGUUCCUGGCAAGUGUUGCGAUCGGAUCCUGACGUGCCACUCCUUUGGCGGGGCAUGUUGUUGUGUGGCGCAGUUUCGGUUGAUAAUUGAAGGUGGCUUAAAUCAAGAUGAAUAUCGGUGGGGAAAUCCGAACCCUCGAACGGCAGAGAACAUGUGGAGCAUCAUUGUGAAAUUCGUUCAUCAGUCUUGAUUUAAGCGCAAAAUCAUUUGUAGGUAUUUGGACUCUUAUUUGGCAAUAAAUUAUACAAAAUUAUUUAAUUUACAA